rnacentral:rRNA from 1 species
CGUCCUAAGGCGAGGGCGGGAGCCGUAGCCGAUGACAAACAGGUGGAGAAUCUGUACGCGAUAUGACAGACUGUGGGACACGCGUGAAAGCAUAGCGGGAAUGAAAGACCGGCGCAAGCGGGUAGGGGCUGCAUAGGCAAAUCCGUGCAGCGUAACCCGAAGCCGUGACGCGUACCGAACUGCAAGUAGGGAAGUAUGCGAGCCAUGCGUCAAGAAAAGCCGCUAUCGCUCAUAUCGCGCCCGUACCGCAAACCGACACAGGUAGAUGAGGAGAGAAUCCUAAGGCCGACGGGAGAAGCAUUGUCAAGGAACUCGGCAAAAUGACUCCGUAACUUCGGGAGAAGGAGUGCCAUAGAGAUAUGGCCGCAGAGAAUUGGCCCAAGCAACUGUUUAGCAAAAACACAGGUCUAUGCGAAGCCGCAAGGCGAGGUAUAUGGGCUGACGCCUGCCCGGUGCUGGAAGGUUAAGGGGAGAGGUUAGAGCGAUCGAAGCCUUGAACUUAAGCCCCAGUAAACGGCGGCCGUAACUAUAACGGUCCUAAGGUAGCGAAAUUCCUUGUCGGGUAAGUUCCGACCCGCACGAAAGGCGUAAUGAUUUGGGCACUGUCUCGACAAUGCACCCGGUGAAAUUGAAGUACCAGUGAAGAUGCUGGUUACCCGCGCCAGGACGGAAAGACCCCAUGGAGCUUUACUCCAGCUUGAUACUGGGAUCCGGUAUUGCAUGUACAGGAUAGGUGGGAGGCUAGGAAGCGAUGACGCCAGUCGUCGCGGAGCCGCUGUUGGGAUACCACCCUUGCAGUGCUGGGUUUCUAACCAGCAGCCGUGAACCGGCUGGGGGACAAUGUCAGGCGGGGAGUUUGACUGGGGCGGUCGCCUCCGAAAGGGUAUCGGAGGCGCUCAAAGGUCCUCUCAGAAUGGUCGGAAACCAUUCGCAGAGCGCAAAGGCAGAAGAGGGCUUGACUGCGACACCGACGGGUGGAGCAGGUACGAAAGUAGGACUUAGUGAUCCGGUGGUAUAAAGUGGGAUUGCCAUCGCUCAACGGAUAAAAGCUACCCUGGGGAUAACAGGCUUAUCACUCCCAAGAGUUCACAUCGACGGAGUGGUUUGGCACCUCGAUGUCGGCUCAUCGCAUCCUGGGGCUGAAGUAGGUCCCAAGGGUUGGGCUGUUCGCCCAUUAAAGCGGUACGCGAGCUGGGUUCAGAACGUCGUGAGACAGUUCGGUCCCUAUCCGGCGCGGGCGUAGGAUAUUUGAGAGGAGCUGUCCUUAGUACGAGAGGACCGGGAUGGACUGGCCGCUGGUGGAUCUGUUGCGCCUCCAGGCGCAUGGCAGAGUAGCCAAGCCGGGACGGGAUAAACGCUGAAGGCAUCUAAGCGUGAAGCCCCCCUCGAGAUGAGAUAUCCCUGGCGUUAAGCCAGUAAGACCCCUUGAAGACGACGAGGUAGAUAGGAUAGAGGUGGAAGUGCAGCAAUGCAUGGAGCUGACUAUUACUAAUCGGUCGAGGGCAUGACCAG